UACGUAGGGGGCUAGCGUUGUCCGGAAUCAUUGGGCGUAAAGAGCGUGUAGGCGGCCCGGUAAGUCCGCUGUGAAAGUCCAGGGCUCAACCCUGGGAUGCCGGUGGAUACUGUCGGGCUCGAGUCCGGAAGAGGCGAGUGGAAUUCCGUGGUGGUAGCGGUGAAAUGCGCAGAUAUCAGGAGGAACACCAAUGGCGAAGGCAGCUCGCUGGGACGUGACUGACGCUGAGACGCGAAAGCGUGGGGAGCAAACAGG
rnacentral:rRNA from 1 species